UACGGAGGGGGCUAGCGUUGUUCGGAAUUACUGGGCGUAAAGCGCGCGUAGGCGGACCUGCAAGUCGGGGGGUGAAAGCCCGAGGCUCAACCUCGGAACUGCCUUCGAUACUGCGGGUCUCGAGUCCGGGAGAGGUGAGUGGAAUUCCUAGUGUAGAGGUGAAAUUCGUAGAUAUUAGGAAGAACACCAGUGGCGAAGGCGGCUCACUGGCCCGGUACUGACGCUGGAGGCACGAAAGCGUGGGGAGCAAACAGG
rnacentral:rRNA from 1 species